rnacentral:rRNA from 1 species
UACAGAGGUCUCAAGCGUUGUUCGGAUUCAUUGGGCGUAAAGGGGGCGUAGGCGGCGUGGUAAGUCGGGUGUGAAAUCUCGGAGCUUAACUCCGAAACUGCAUUCGAUACUGCCGUGCUUGAGGACUGGAGAGGAGACUGGAAUUUACGGUGUAGCGGUGAAAUGCGUAGAUAUCGUAAGGAAGACCAGUGGCGAAGGCGGGUCUCUGGACAGUUCCUGACGCUGAGGCACGAAGGCCAGGGGAGCAAACGGG